rnacentral:rRNA from 1 species
AGUGAACGCUGGCGGUAGGCCUAACACAUGCAAGUCGAACGGCAGCACAGUAAGAGCUUGCUCUUACGGGUGCGAGUGGCGGACGGGUGAGGAAUACAUCGGAAUCUACUUUUUCGUGGGGGAUAACGUAGGGAAACUUACGCUAAUACCGCAUACGACCUACGGGUGGAAGCAGGGGAUCUUCGGACCUUGCGCGAUUGAAUGAGCCGAUGUCGGAUUAGCUAGUUGGCGGGGUAAAGGCCCACCAAGGCGACGAUCCGUAGCUGGUCUGAGAGGAUGAUCAGCCACACUGGAACUGAGACACGGUCCAGACUCCUACGGGAGGCAGCAGUGGGGAAUAUUGGACAAUGGGCGCAAGCCUGAUCCAGCCAUACCGCGUGGGUGAAGAAGGCCUUCGGGUUGUAAAGCCCUUUUGUUGGGAAAGAAAAGCAGCAGGUUAAUACCCCGCUGUUCUGACGGUACCCAAAGAAUAAGCACCGGCUAACUUCGU